AUACGUAGGUGACAAGCGUUAUCCGGAUUUACUGGGCGUAAAGGGCGUGUAGGCGGUCUUGCAAGUCAGAAGUGAAAUUCCUGAGCUCAACUCGGGCGCUGCUUCUGAAACUGCAGGACUUGAGUGCUGGAGGGGAUAGCGGAAUUCCUAGUGGAGCGGUAAAAUGCGCAGAUAUUAGGAAGAACACCGGUGGCGAAGGCGGCUAUCUGGACAGUAACUAGCGCUGAGGCGCGAAAGCGUGGGGAGCAAACAGGAUGAGAUACCCUGGUAGGCCACGCCGUAAACGAUGAAUACUAGGUGUAGGGGGUAUCGACUCCCUCUGUGCCGCAGUUAACACAAUAAGUAUUCCGCCUGGGGAGUACGGCCGCAAGGUUGAAACUCAAAUGAAUUGACGGGG
rnacentral:rRNA from 1 species